rnacentral:rRNA from 1 species
CAGCAGCCGCGGGAAUACGAAGGGGGCUAGCGUUGUUCGGAAUUACUGGGCGUAAAGCGCACGUAGGCGGAUAUUUAAGUCAGGGGUGAAAUCCCAGAGCUCAACUCUGGGACUGCCUUUGAUACUGGGUAUCUUGAGUAUGGAAGAGGUGAGUGGAAUUCCGAGUGUAGAGGUGAAAUUCGUAGAUAUUCGGAGGAACACCAGUGGCGAAGGCGGCUCACUGGUCCAUUACUGACGCUGAGGUGCGAAAGCGUGGGGAGCAAACAGGAUUAGAUACCCCAGUAGUCCCUGUCUCUUAUAC